CACGCCCAGUGGGACAGUGGUGUUAGGUGUUGAAAGUGCAAAAGGAGAAACAGUAUGCCUCAAAAAUCCGACAAGGAAGGAGCAAGUCAGGGAGGAAUCCAGUCUGUAAUCGAGCGAUAUGAGGAGCAACAUGCCUCUCCACGAACAGAUGGACAAAAUCAGAGCAGUAACAGUCGUUACGAACCAAUGACGGAGCUGAGUCCUCGAACCAUGCGUGCAUUGCUUGGAGAACUCACGCAAGACGUCGUUGAACAGGUAAAUCUUCGAAAUAUUCAUAACAUGGAAAGAUUUAC
rnacentral:lncRNA from 1 species